rnacentral:rRNA from 1 species
GAUGAACGCUAGCGGCAGGCUUAACACAUGCAAGUCGAGGGGUAUAGUUCUUCGGAGCUAGAGACCGGCGCACGGGUGCGUAACGCGUAUGCAAUCUGCCUUUCACAGAGGGAUAGCCCAGAGAAAUUUGGAUUAAUACCUCAUAGUAUGUAUGAAUGGCAUCAUUUAUACAUUAAAGUCACAACGGUGAAAGAUGAGCA